UACGUAGGGUGCGAGCGUUGUCCGGAAUUAUUGGGCGUAAAGAGCUCGUAGGCGGUGUGUCGCGUCGGCCGUGAAAACCUGCAGCUUAACUGUGGGCUUGCGGUCGAUACGGGCAUCACUGGAGUUCGGCAGGGGAGACUGGAAUUCCUGGUGUAGCGGUGAAAUGCGCAGAUAUCAGGAGGAACACCGGUGGGCGAAGGCGGGGUCUCUGGGCCGAUACUGACGCUGGAGGA
rnacentral:rRNA from 1 species